rnacentral:lncRNA from 1 species
UGUUGGAAUUGUUUGGCCAGAAGUUCUCUUUUCCAAGGUAUGAUAUACGUUGGAAUUCUGGAGUGAAUGAGACGAAGAGUACUCUUCAUGUGAACAAAGGGAACAAGGUGGUCUAGUUGUUUCAAAGUUGCUUUAUAUUAAUAUGAGGUUCUGGAAGGUAUAAAGUGUGGGUAUGGGAAGUCAGAAGCGAGGAGUUCUGGAGCUGUGCUUGAUGUGAAAUGGUUUCCAAUGGAAUCUACG